rnacentral:rRNA from 1 species
AACGAACGCUGGCGGCAGGCCUAACACAUGCAAGUCGAGCGCGCCCUUCGGGGUGAGCGGCGGACGGGUGAGUAACGCGUGGGAACGUUCCCUUUUCUACGGAAUAGCCUCGGGAAACUGAGAGUAAUACCGUAUACGCCCUUUGGGGGAAAGAUUUAUCGGAAAAGGAUCGGCCCGCGUUGGAUUAGGUAGUUGGUGGGGUAAUGGCCUACCAAGCCGACGAUCCAUAGCUGGUUUGAGAGGAUGAUCAGCCACACUGGGACUGAGACACGGCCCAGACUCCUACGGGAGGCAGCAGUGGGGAAUCUUAGACAAUGGGGGCAACCCUGAUCUAGCCAUGCCGCGUGAGUGAUGAAGGCCUUAGGGUUGUAAAGCUCUUUCAGCUGGGAAGAUAAUGACGGUACCAGCAGAAGAAGCCCCGGCUAACUCCGUG